rnacentral:rRNA from 1 species
AUGGUUAAAACAAAGGAUAUUAUGGAAGCGGGACGAAACCAAGGCCCAAAACGAGUGCGGCGAUUUGGCUCCCGGGCUCAGAUGAGCCCGGGCCAAAUGAAAAAAUCGAAAAAAAAUAGAAAAAAUUCAAAAAUUCUGAAUUUUUUUUGCAAGAAAGAUGCUUGUAUGCGUGAUGUUCGACCAGAAUUUGGUGCGGUUUUGACAUUCGAGGAGCGCGCGACAAAAAAGACAAAAUCCAUCUCUGUGAGUAAGGUUACUGUUCAUGAACUGUUUUGGCCGGUUUUCACUUUUUUGCCACAAGCUCCACAGAUGUCCAAAUGGGAUGAAAAUUUGCACGCACAUCACGCACUCAAACAUCUUGCACCACGAAAAAAUUUGAAAUUUUUUGAACACUUUUUGUAUUUUUUUUUCGCGUUACUGUUCACCGGGUGCAUCUGA